AAACAAUAAAAAAUUAUAAAAAAUAUAAAAAAAGGAAUAAGUUUUCGUUUUAAAAAACAACCAAAAUCUAUUCAAUUAUAGACUUCGGUUCCUUGAACAACGAAAGUCUAUUGUGAUCUUUAUAAUAAAAUAUUUUUAUUAAGUAACUUUCACAUUAAAAAACCUAAAUAAUUAAACCAAAAUUGAAUACCAUUAUGAAUCAUAAAUAAGC
rnacentral:lncRNA from 1 species